rnacentral:lncRNA from 1 species
UCUUUUUUUUUCGUACUAGUCUCUCUCUCUCUCUCUUCUCUUUCUCUCUGUUUGCGUAUUCUCUCUCUCUGCUCUCUCAUUCUCUUCUCUUUCUCUCAUCUCGCUCUCGCUCUCUCUCCACUUCGAUUCUCGGCCGCCGGAGGCCGAGGAGUCUAUCGCUAGGCUGUUAGAAGACGAGAGAGAUCUAGCGCCGUCGAUCGACCGAUC